rnacentral:lncRNA from 10 species
GGAACCUGUAGGCAGCGCUUGAGGGUAGCGGGAUAGCAGCUGCAAGCGCGCGUGGGAGGCGGGGGCUCUGGGCGGAACAAAAAUCACAGGAUGUCAGAGGAUGUUUCCCGGGAAGAACUGGGAUAAAGGAAGGGUCCCAGCACCAUGGAGGACCCGAACCCUGAAGAGAACAUGAAGCAGCAGGAUUCACCCAAGGAGAGAAGUCCCCAGAGCCCAGGAGGCAACAUCUGUGAGUACACAUGGCUGGCGGGCUAGAGGAGGGUGGGGUGCAGGAGCUGAUGCUAAGAUCUCUGUGGCACUUCGGUGUCCAAGGCGCCACAGAGUUUUGCCUGUUGAGAAGGGGCUGUAAUGGUCCCUGAGCUGCUCUAGCAGGAAGUGCAUCUCCUCACACCAGCUUAUGUGGCCAGAGUACUCACCCUCCUCUGGCCACAUAAGCAGGAUUGCAAUGCUUAUGCAUUCAGAGGGAUAGGGUGGCUUCCAGGAGAGGCUUGGGUUGGAGAUGUGGCUGGGAAUGGUUCUAUUGGGAGAGAAACCCCAAGAUUCUGGUCCCAACUCUGCCCUAGACUUUCAGUGUAACUUGG